rnacentral:misc_RNA from 1 species
AACAAGCGAAACGUCGCUGGGCGCCCAAGCUACGCGGCUACGCCUACGGGAAUACUUUAGUUGCAUAGUGGGUUGCCGAGACGGCAGUAAUUGACAGGAACCGUCGGUACAAGAAAGGCGACCUGUGUAAAGCAUUAUCUGCGGAACGGCACGCAAUGCCUGUAAGCGUAACGCAACAAACAACUACCGUCUCAUCGUCCGGCGGGAACGAGCGAUUGGCGUUAUGUGCCUUCAACUUCGGCUACCUGAAGACGCCAGACGGUUGGAUCAAAAUAGCCCAAGUGAUCGUGGGACUGAUAGUAAUGUCGCUGUUGAUCAGGACCUAUAAUGUAUCCUGGGUGCUGUUCCUGAUGAUGACGGCUUUUGCUUUUGCUGUCGUCAGCUUCAUUAUUCUACUUUCGGCGAUGGGUUCCUACUCGGGAUCCCUCCUCAUCGGAACUCUUUUUUACCUCAACUACCACAUUGUGGGCUUCAUCUUCUACCUUUCGGGAGGGUUGACAUGUGUUGUCAAUGCGUCACAAUAUGUUGGCUUGGGCAGCAUCAUAGCUGCUGGGGUGCUUGGCCUCAUUGCCUCAGCCCUAUAUGCAGUGGAUGUUGCCCUGACAGUCCGAGCACGUGUUUGAAUCUUCAGUGCCAAGUGUCCGAAUUUACCUCUGAAGCACUGCAGUGCUCAGCUCUGUAUGCCCUUGCCUUUGCACUGAUGUACAACUGGUGUUGCAAAAAGUCUUGACAGGCGCUGUUAAUGUAUUUUUUUUUUCGUGCAUUUUGCAUUUACCAAAGGCAAUGGAAGUUAAGAAAAGGUUGUGAGGGCUGGCUACUGAAUCACUAUUAUGGCACAAUGUGUGUUGCUCAGCUUAACAGCCGUGGGACAGGCAGAGCAGCUUGUGUAUGAAGGAGUGUGUGUCUAUAUGUAUGCGUGCUGCAUGUUUUGUGCUUACAAUGUGGGGGUUUAAUCUGUUGUAAAUCUAAGCAGUUUCACUGAUAAGGUUUUCUUUCACUGAGCUAUAGGUGAAAAAUGGCUAAUAACUUUCUCUCUCUCUUUUUUUUUUCUUUUGUAAGGGUCUUCUUGGAAGAAUCCAAACCCUAGCAUGUUUUAAUGCAUUUAACACUUGUUUCAGGUACUAUUAACAGAAAGUAGUGAUAUGAAAAACUAAAAUCUGGCCCCCUGAAAAGAUUUCAUGGCAGCAGGAAUGGUACUGUUCGCUUGUUCAUUUAGAAUGGGUACCUUCACAUUGCAUGCAUAUACAGCAUAAUACAAGUUUGUUUUGUGAUAAUAGUUUAGAAACAAUCUUUUCCAAAAUUUGAUUCUGUAAAUACUGUUUCACAUGUUCCUUGACGUUGCCUGUUGCAGUGCUUGGUUGGAGAAAGACAAAGACAGCACAAAUGCAGGAACCUACUUCCUCAGUUGCCAUUCCUUUGUGAAAAAGUGCAUUGCUGUAGAAUAACUCACAUUUAAAGUAUGCUGUACCUCCUGUACUCGGUUGGUGUUUAUUUAAAGCCUUAAGAGAAUCUCUGUAUCUGCUUCACUGCAACUUUUCAUAUGUUAACACAGCAACAUGAGCAGUGUAUUUUUCGAUAAGCAUGGUCACAUUUUGACUCCUAAAUAUAGCUGCAAACUCGUGAGAUACCAUAGAAACUUGAUAUUUUAGAGAAGCCACAACUGCUUGGCAACAUUGCCUGAGCAGCAGGGGCGAGGGGUGGGGGAUUAAUUUCAAAAGUUUUCAGCUGCCCUGUAAUAAAAAAACACAAAGGCCACAGAACAAAAAAAAAGAAAAAGAAAAAAAAAAGCACAGCUGCAGCUGUGCUAUAACAAUAUAGUAUAUUGAGCAUAAUUGCAACUGUAGAGCUGAUUAAAUUUACCAUAUAGUGGUCACAUAUAUUAUUUUCCCAUUUUGAUAACUUUUAUUUGUUCACCACCGAUGCUGUCAUAAAAACAAUAUAGGGUCAUUGAACCAAGUGAAUUGUUAGCAUGACGUGCAUGCAGCAACGUGUGUCACACAAAUUUAAAUUCUAGUUGCUUUUUUCUUGCAACUCUUGCAACUAAAGA